rnacentral:RNase_P_RNA from 1 species
GGAGAGGACCGGGCGACCGCUGGUUGGCGCUUCAUCGCGUCGACGGGAGGAAAGUCCGGGCGGCACAGGGCAGGGUGGUGGGUAACUCCCACCGGCCGCGAGGCCAGGGCAAGUGCAACAGAAAGCAAACCGCCGAUGGGAACGACGGUAGCGGCUCCGCCGCCAAGGCGUUCCACAGGUAAGGGUGAAACGGUGCGGUAAGAGCGCACCAGCGGGCGGGGCGACUCGCUCGGCUAGGUAAACCCCACCCGACGCAAGGCCAAACAGGGGGCAUGAGUCGGCCCGACUCGCUAUCGACCCCCGGGUAGGCUGCUCGAGGCGGCGGGCAACCGCCGCCCUAGAGGAAUGGUCGCCGCCACGCUGGCAACAGCGCGGCACAAAACCCGGCUUACAGGUCCUCUCCGGCU